CCUACGGGAGGCUGCAGUGAGGAAUAUUGGUCAAUGGCCGAGAGGCUGAACCAGCCAAGUCGCGUGAGGGAAGACGGCCCUACGGGUUGUAAACCUCUUUUGUCGGGGAGCAAAGCGAGUCACGUGUGACUCAUUGAGAGUACCCGAAGAAAAAGCAUCGGCUAACUCCGUGCCAGCAGCCGCGGUAAUACGGAGGAUGCGAGCGUUAUCCGGAUUUAUCGGGUUUAAAGGGUGCGUAGGCGGGCUGUUAAGUCAGCGGUAAAAGCCCGGGGCUCAACCCCGGCGAGCCGUUGAAACUGGCUGUCUUGAGAUGUCGAGAGGUAUGCGGAAUGCGCAGUGUAGCGGUGAAAUGCUUAGAUAUUGCGCAGAACUCCGAUUGCGAAGGCAGCAUACCGGCGGCGAUCUGACGCUGAGGCACGAAAGCGUGGGUAUCGAACAGGAUUAGAUACCCCAGUAGUC
rnacentral:rRNA from 1 species